rnacentral:rRNA from 1 species
AGGAUGAACGCUAGCGGCAGGCUUAAUACAUGCAAGUCGAGGGGCAGCGGGGUAGCAAUACUGCCGGCGACCGGCAAACGGGUGCGGAACACGUACACAACCUUCCUUUCGGUGGGGGAUAGCCCAGAGAAAUUUGGAUUAAUACCCCAUAAUAUAUUUUGAUUGCAUAAUUGGGAUAUUAAAGAUUUAUUGCCGGAAGAUGGGUGUGCGUAUGAUUAGGUAGUUGGUUGAGGUAACGGCUCACCAAGCCUUCGAUCAUUAACUGGUGUGAGAGCACGACCAGUCACAUCGGGACUGAGACACUGCCCGGACUCCUACGGGGGGCUGCAGUAACGAAUCUUCCCCAAUGCGCGCAAGCGUGAGGGAGCGACGCCGCGUGUAGGACGAAGUCCUUCGGGAUGUAAACUACUGUCAGGGGCAACCAAGUUCUGAGGUGCCCCAGAGGAAGAGGCGGCUAACUCUGUGCCAGCAGCCGCGGUAAUACAGAGGCCUCGAGCGUUAGGCGGAAUCACUGGGCUUAAAGCGCGUGUAGGCGGAUCGUUAAGUACCUUGUGAAAUCCCACGGCUCAACCGUGGAACUGCUGGGUAUACUGGCGGUCUUGGGCCAUCUAGGGGUCGCCGGAACAAGCGGUGGAGCGGUGAAAUGCGUAGAUAUCGCUUGGAACGCCAAAGGUGAAGACAGGCGACUGGAGAUGUGCCGACGCUGAGACGCGAAAGCCAGGGGAGCGAACGGGAUUAGAUACCCCGGUAGUCCUGGCCCUAAACGAUGUCCACUAGAUCGUGGCACCUCUGACGGUGUCAUGGUCGGAGCAAAAGUGUUAAGUGGACCGCCUGGGAAGUACGGUCGCAAGGCUA